CUCUUCAACACAGGCCAAGAACUUUUCAUGUGAUAGAAGAGGGACCACGCGAGCAAAGGAAUCAGUUGUUUUCUGUUUUAGGGUCUCUCACUGAUCUAGAAGAAGAAGAAUCAAAGGACUCCUCAGAGGGACAGGUAACAGGUUGCUUCUGUAGAUAUUAAACUACCAAGAAGAAGAAGUUUGCAAGUGGAGUUCAGUUACAACUCAUGCGGAGACAGAACUAAACGGCUUAUCAACCGUUUGGCUUAUGAAUGUGGCCUUGUCUUUGUCCAGUGUGGUGGAUGUCUUAAGCAUCAUAAGCUGGUUGACAAUCUUGGUCAUUGUUGAGUAGGACUUCCGCAAAGAAACCUCCAAGGAUUCAAGUACGGAUCAAAUUUGAUAUGACUUUCGAUAAAAAAAUGUAUUAUUUUUAAUCAAAUGUGUUUGGUAUACAAUGGAGAAAAAUGUAGCUUUUGGAGUUGAUACAUAGGUGAUAUAGUGAGAAGAAAGCUAGAGACUUUAGGCUCUGAUAGCCAGCAGGAGGAGAGUUCCCAGUACAGUGCUGAGCCACAUUGCUACUCUUCCUUCUAGCUGGUUCAAGGCAUUUUCUCCGUUCUGUAAAACCAGAAAUUAAAGAUUGUUAUAUAAUUCAGUGUGGUGAUAGUGCGUUUCUUUUUGAAGAUUGUAGUUUAGUAAGAGAGUGUUACCGCAUUCUGAAAUGGUGAUGGUGGAGACGUGUCCUGGGAAUCUGUUAGAACUGGACGAGAUGGAGGGCUUGGAGGAGUUGGUGCUGGAGGUGGGGCAUGGUAAUGUCUCUUGUGUUUGUGCUUUUUCUUGUACUUGGCAGGAGCUGAUGCUGGUGUUAGAGUUAUUGGUGUAAGCGCUAGAGGCGGUGAAGCUGGUGGUGCAGAAGGUGAUGCCUGUGGGGGAGAGGCCGGAGCAAGCGGUGGU